UACGUAGGGGGCAAGCGUUGUCCGGAUUUAUUGGGCGUAAAGAGCGUGUAGGCGGCUAGAUAGGUCCGUUGUGAAAACUCGAGGCUCAACCUCGAGACGUCGAUGGAAACCAUCUGGCUAGAGUCCGGAAGAGGAGAGUGGAAUUCCUGGUGUAGCGGUGAAAUGCGCAGAUAUCAGGAAGAACACCAAUGGCGAAAAGCAGCUCUCUGGGACGGUACUGACGCUGAGACGCGAAAAGCGUGGGGGAGCGAACAGGG
rnacentral:rRNA from 1 species